rnacentral:misc_RNA from 1 species
CAGAGUUUUCUAACUCCCAAACCCUUUGUGAACUUACCAUUCUGUUGCCUCGGCGGGCCUCUGGGAUUCGUCCCACGUCCGCCGAUGGCCCCUAUAAACUCUGUUACUUAUAAGCAAUCUGAGCGUUUUCCAAAAAUAAAGUUA